GGAUCGGUAGCUCAGUUGGUAGAGCAGCGGACUGGAAAUCCGUGUGUCGACGGCUCGAUUCCGUUCCGAGACU
rnacentral:tRNA from 1 species